UUAGGGAAAACUUUGCCAUGCUUGUUAUAGAUAUUUCCAAUAAUAAAAACACAAAGAUCAGCUCUACAAGCAUUGAUUGCAGUUCCAACUAGGGAAUUGGGCAUCUUUUUCCUCCUUCUGAGUCAUCUUUUUCCAGUUUUGCCCCUUAUGUUGCUUUGGUGUUGAUGGUGCUGUCAAAACACAAUGACUUUCCUUUGGUUCCAUUAUUUAGUGAUCACCUGGAAAUACAGGUUGUUGCAACGAGUUGUAUUGAAUGACUAAACAAUCAGUCUUUCGAGAAGACUGAGGACGAUAUCAAUGUUAACCUGGGAUUGUGAGUAAAAGGCAAGACAAUAUUUGACAAGUGAAGAUGAGGUUGGAUUCAAGGCUAUUAAACUAGUAAACAUGGGGGAGUAAGAGUAGAAUUAUCAAUUAUGUAUUUUAUGUUAUACGAUAAAUUUGAAUAACUUAUCAAUUUUUUGUUUUGUUAGGCCCAAAUAAGGAAGACUAUGCCGUGUAUCAGUGCAUCAGUGCACUGUAAGUGUUGUAAAUAGCAACGUAGUUUUCAGUUUGACCAGAUUUUUUAUUUUGUUUUAUAGAUGAUGUUUAUUGUAAUAUUUAUUUUUGGAAAAUGAUGUUUUUGUA